GCGAAAGCUAGUUGUAUUAUUAGUUAAUGCAAGAUCGACUACGUCGACUAAAGUUCUAGGUAGAAUAAUGAUGAUGACAAUUUUUUACCUAUAUGUCUUGACCAAGUCUCGUGCCAGCAGUCGCGGUAAUACGUGGAAGACUAGUGUUAUUCAUCUUUAUUAGGUUUAAAGGGUACCUAGACGGUAUUUCUAGCCCAAAAUAGGGUACGGAUUUACUAGAGUUUUAUGUGAGGAGGGGAGUACUCGUGGAGUAGAGAUGAAAUUUUGUUAUACUAUGAGGUAACUGGUGGCGGCGAAAGCAACCUUCUAUGUAUAAACUGACGUUGAGGGACGAAGGCUUGGGUAGCAAAUAGGAUUAGAUACCCUAGUAGUCCAAGCAGACAAUUCUGAAUGCCAUAGAUUAGAUUUUUUUUGAUCUAUAAAUGAAAGUGUAAGCAUUCCACCUUAGGAGUAAUGUGGCAACACAGGAACUGAAAUCAUUAGACCGUUUCUGAAACCAGUAGUGAAGUAUGUUAUUUAAUUUGAUGGUCCACAAAAAACCUUACCACAACUUGAAUAUUUUUUAAUUAAUACAAGCGUUGCACGGCUGUCUUCAGUUAAUGUCGUGAGAUUUUGGUUAACUCCAUUAAUUAACGUAAACCCUUACUUUAUUUAU
rnacentral:rRNA from 1 species